UUUUCUCCUUAACCCUCAAAGAGGAAACCCCUAAAAUAGAAAGUUCUCACUUCACUCUCCACUAUUCUUGUUCUAUUUCUUCAUUUCCACUCACGUGAUUUUGCUUCUACUAUAACCCUUCAGCUCUAACCACUUCCUCCAUGUUAUGUUUUGUGUGCAUCAACAGAAAAUUGUUAUUAUUUUGCCUUAAAUUUAUGGAUGAAUAUGCUUUUUAGCUCUUUUUUUAAUCUUGAUGGUUGAAUACUUGUAUUUUUUGUUGUUGGGUAUGUAUUUUUAAUCAUGAUUGUUGAAUCAGGUUGAUUGUUAUGUUUGCUUUUAUGUCUGUGACAGUGGAAGAAGUGAAGUUAUACUAUUCAUGAUCCCAAGAGAUUCAUCAAUCUCUAUCUGGGUCUAGGUAGGAAGACAAAGAGAUCACCUUCAAGCUUUCAACUUCUUUGCUGGACUCUUUAGUAUUGUUGCUACCACCUAGGAGGUUGUUCCUGUCUGGCUUUGUUGCUUGCCUAUAAAAGGUUAUUCAGUAGAGGCUAUAGUUGUGCAUGACCAACUUUGUUAAAUGGUUUAAAGGUCAGAUAAAGAACUUAUAGGUGUCGAAAAUCAUUAUCUUCCCGAAGUAGUUGCAGUUUUUGCUGAGGGAGCACAAAUUCUGCUUGCCGAUCUGAAACUUCAAGGAGCACAAAUUCUGCUUAGCACAUUGUGCACAAU